GACAGAGGUGCCGAGCGUUAGGCGGAAUCACUGGGCUUAAAGCGUGUGUAGGCGGCGGCGUAAGUACCUUGUGAAAUCCCACGCUCAACCGUGGAACUGCUCGGUAUACUGCGUCGCUUGAGCCAACUAGGGGCAACUGGAACAAGCGGUGGAGCGGUGAAAUGCGUAGAUAUCAGGAGGAACACUGGUGGUGUAAACGGCUUUUCUGGACCAUAAACUGACGCUGAGGCACGAAAGCGUGGGUAGCAAACAGG
rnacentral:rRNA from 1 species